AUUGAGUUCUUUGGAAAGGCAUAUAUGAACCAUGUGGUGGGCCAGGUUUAGGCUUUUGGAGGAUCCUCCACACUGACAUCCAGUCAGGCUGGAAAUCUUUCCAUACUCUCCAGCACGGUAUAGCAUUCCUUUCUGUGAACACUCUCAGUGGUGUCUGUCAUUUCUUUUCUAAUUGGCCUUGGGUGGCAUCUAGGAGGUUCACUAUGCAUUUCCCUGGUUCCUCCUCCAUCUGAACCUUUGUAUGUCCUCACUCUCCUUUUUAAGAAAUCAGGGAGGAUUCUCUUUCUCUUUGCACUUUACUACCUGGGUUGCCUUCUUUCUAAUGACUUCUGUGUUUUAUCUAAUUCUAAAUAAUCUAAAUAUGAAUCUUCUCACUGGCAUAGCAAUAACAAAGAUGUCCUCCUGUUCUCUAGGACCCCCUCUUAAUAACUAUUACCUUUUUCUGGCAACAAAUGCUUUACUCCCCUGAGAGACCAUCUGUCAACUACAGCCAGGAUUUCUGAGUGGCUGGUGUGUUGCUCCAUUCUGGCCUGUCUGUGAACAUUCAACUCUUUCACAUACUCUGUGCUCUCAUACUGUCAGGGUUACUCACACUAUUACCUCUGAGGCAUUUGACAUUUCUUGCACAGGGUGACAUACAGGAAAUAUAACUCAUUGACUUGUUAAUUUGCUUUUAGUUCCUUGAGACAGGUUCUCUCUCCAUGACCCUGCAUGUUCAGGAACUAACUAUGUUGAUCAGGCUAGCCUUGAACUCACAAACUUCAGCCUUCCUCUACCUGAUACUAUCUCUGACUCUGCCUAUGACUCUGUGACUGCCUCUGCAAUUUCCAUGGUACGGAUCAUGACACAAGAGUGUUGAGACUAAAGGAAUGCUCCCACAAACUAAAUGGAAUCAAGUUUCUUUCUAUCUAUGUGGAUAUCCAGGUUUCCCAGCAUGUGAUCAAGAAGCCAUGUGUAAGCCAAGUGGUGCAAAGGGAGACAUCCCUUGGAAUUACACGUCAAGCCAGAGAUUCCCUCAGCUGCAGAACAGAAGGAACUCUGCUACUCCUGCUCCCUGGAUUACCAGAUGAGGACACGACCUGUUGAUGGUGGCAAGUCAUUAACUGCCCCCAUCACAACCUUCAGAAUUCCUGGCAUUGCCACAUGAUCCCUGCCUGGAACAGAGAAUAAAAACAUGCAUGAGAUGGCAACAAAUCUGUCAAUGUCUCUGGAUGCCUAUGAGUUCAUGAAAGAGAAACAUGAUCUAUCUCUCUCCCUUUAGCACACCCUGACAUGCAGCAUCCCUUGUACUUCACUGAUGCUGGGAGCCUAGGACAGCUGAGAGUCAAGGAUAGAAGCUUGCUUCUGACAUUGUGAAAUUGGGAAGCAGCAGUCUUGGUCAGGAUGAGCCUGGGACAUGCACAGUGUGUUGGCCACCAGAAUAGACUUGCAGACAUGACUACACUGGUGGUAGAAGUUCAUCUUCCAAACUGCUCAACUCCCUCUCUGAACUAAACCAAUUCCAGGUUCCCACAGCCACCCAAUGCAAAGACUCCAUAGUUUUCAGAAGCGAUCAGGCCCAGUAAAGAUCAGGUGUCAUCAGCACACCCUUAAACCAGUUGAGAAAGAAGGAAGAGCAAAGCCCUAAUCUGCUUGAUGGAAAUUCUCUGGCCAAAAUCUAGUGUCAGGACCUGGUGGAGUGACAGAGCCUUAGAACAGUGCUAUGGAUAGAGAAGUUGAUAUUGACAACAUCACCCAGCAUAUAGGGGGCAAAGUUCAGAAAGCCACACUCUGCAGACACAGCAGACCUGGGAAUCAUAAAAGACAAGACCAAGUGUAUUAGAGAUAACUCCAAGAAAGCUGAAAGAGUAGAUGCAAUUAAGUCACAGAGUCAAGACAGAAGACAAGCCCACUGUCCUCAACAACAAGAGGAAGUUCAAUCAACCUGAGCUCAGCCAUGAUGGCUUUAAAAAGCCUCAAAACCACCUCAGCGUGCACAUGCUGGAGUCUGUGAAGGUCUGUCAUUCACUGUGGAAGGAAGGGUGAGAAGAAAACUGGCAUCUCCUGAACCUUCAACUCUUUGUGCUACUCUGUGCUCUAAGAGUAACAGAGUUUGUUACACUUUGGCCUCUGGGAAUUCACUAUUAUCUUUUUCCAAGGUUACAUAUAGUGAGAAGAAUUCAUUUAUUUAUUAAGUCACUUUUAGUUUCUUAAACUGGGACCCACUCCAUAGCCCAGCAUCUCCUAGAACUGACUACAUCGAACAGGCAAUCAUUGAACUCACAAAGAUCUGCCUGCCUCCCCCUCUGCCUCAACCUCCAUCUCAGCCUCUGCCUCCCCUACUGCAUCCACAUCUACACACUCCUCAGCCACUGCCUCAAGAGUGCUGGGAUGAAAGUAAUUCUCUAACAAGCAAGGUGGAAUCAAGGUUCUUUCAGUACAGGUUGAUAACCAUGUUUCAGUUCAUGUCUUGAUGAAGAGGCCAAGUGUACUCCAGGGUACAUUUUUGUACCUGAAAUUCAAAGAGAUGAAACCACAUGUUUUUACAAAUGCAACUUGACUCAGAUUCAUUUUUUUCUGACAGUCUUCCUUGUUUCAGUUGUAGGCUAUACUUGCUACAAUGCCUGUGAAGCACUCAUGCUAUCCUGGGUAUUUUCUACUUUUGUAGUAAAGUUAUGAUUGCUUUUCUACUUCUAUGAAUUGGGGCAUCUGAGGAAUUGUAUUCACACUCUCCAUAGAGUUUCAUGGUGCUUCUUUCUUCACAAUAUCUAACCCCCAACUACUGUGUAUGCCCCAAAUUGUUCAUUCUAACAAGGGUAAGUACAGUCUAACUCACCUAGAAAAUGUUAACAAUCCCAGCAUGGAAAGAUCCUACUUCCUGAAUGCAAUGAUCCUCACAGGGACAAAUUUGAGUACAGCAGAAUGAUGGAAAGCAAUGGCUUAGGGAGUCCUCUGAUUUUAUCACUCCCUGUGUGUGGCUUAAUGACAGAUUUGCGCACUGCCAUGAGACUACUGUCUUCAUCCUACAGCUUAGGAGCAGCAGAAACACAUUUGGAUGUAUAUCUUGUAACCUUGAUAUUAUUAUUUUAAUCUUUAUGUAUUCAAACUAAGGGUCUUGUAAAAUAAUCCUUAUUUAAGAAGUUCAGGAAGCAUUUUUCAUAUUAAAGCAAUUUACACAAUGCUA